GAUGAACGCUGACAGAAUGCUUAACACAUGCAAGUCGGUGGCGGACGGUUGAGUAAUAUAUUGGAACGUACCGAGUAAUGGGGGAUAACCAAUCGAAAGAUUGGCUAAUACCGCAUGUUAUUCGCGCGGCCAAUAUCUGAUUAGCUAGUUGGUGGGGUAAAGGCCUACCAAGGCGACGAUCAGUAGCGGGGCUGAGAGGAUGAUCCGCCACACUGGGACUGAGACACGGCCCAGACUCCUACGGGAGGCAGCAGUGGGGAAUUUUGGACAAUGGGCGCAAGCCUGAUCCAGCCAUGCCGCGUGUCUGAAGAAGGCCUUCGGGUUGUAAAGGACUGUUGUUAGGGAAGCGGUACCUAAAGAAUAAGCACCGGCUAACUACGUGCCAGCAGCCGCGGUAAUUC
rnacentral:rRNA from 1 species